rnacentral:rRNA from 1 species
UACAGAGGGUGCGAGCGUUAAUCGGAAUUACUGGGCGUAAAGCGUGCGCAGGUGGUUUGUUAAGUCAGAUGUGAAAGCCCCGAGCUUAACUUGGGAACUGCGUUUGAAACUGGCAAGCUAGAGUCUGUCAGAGGGGGGUAGAAUUCCACGUGUAGCAGUGAAAUGCGUAGAGAUGUGGAGGAAUACCAAUGGCGAAGGCAGCCCCCCUGGGAUAAGACUGACGCUCAUGCACGAAAGCGUGGGGGGAGCAAACAGGAUUAGAUACCCUGGUAGUCCACGCCCUAAACGAUGCGAACUGGAGGUUGGGUGCAACUUGGCACGCAGUCUCGAAGCUAACGCGUUAAGUUCGCCGCCUGGGGAGUACGGUCGCAAGACUGAAAC